GAUGAACGCUGGCGGCGUGCCUAAUACAUGCAAGUCGGGCGAACGGACGAGAAGCUUGCUUCUCUGAUGUUAGCGGCGGACGGGUGAGUAACACGUGGAUAACCUACCUAUAAGACUGGGAUAACUUCGGGAAACCGGAGCUAAUACCGGAUAAUAUUUUGAACCGCAUGGUUCAAAAGUGAAAGACGGUCUUGCUGUCACUUAUAGAUGGAUCCGCGCUGCAUUAGCUAGUUGGUAAGGUAACGGCUUACUAAGGCAACGAUGCAUAGCCGACCUGAGAGGGUGAUCGGCCACACUGGAACUGAGACACGGUCCAGACUCCUACGGGAGGCAGCAGUAGGGAAUCUUCCGCAAAGGGCGAAAGCCUGACGGAGCAACGCCGCGUGAGUGAUGAAGGUCUUCGGAUCGUAAAACUCUGUUAUUAGGGAAGAACAUAUGUGUAAGUAACUGUGCACAUCUUGACGGUACCUAAUCAGAAAGCCACGGCUAACUACGUG
rnacentral:rRNA from 1 species